UUUUCCAGUUACACUCUGAGGAUCUUCAGGCGGCCGCGAAGGCCUCAGAUUGCAGUGGAUUCUGUCAUCUCUGAGAAUGGGACCUGUCAUGCCACCUUGAGAUGUUCUGUGGAGGAAGGAGGAGAGAAUGUCAUAUAUGGGUGGACAUCAAUGGGACCAGGAGCUAUUGUGUCCCAGGGAGGAUCCAUCCUCAAUGACUCCUGGAUCCCUGAUGAUCUGGAUCAGAACUACGCCUGCACAGCUGUGAACCCUGUUAGCAAUAGCACCUCCAGCCUCAUCUUUGUUAAGCAGCUUUGUGCAGGUUCCAAGGCAGUUAUAGGUACUUACUGCCCAGUGACAUGGAUUCUGCUGGGGAAGGGGCUCCUUCUCCUCAUGUUCCUGGCGGUUCUAGGAACUUGGCACAUCCAGACACAUGUGUUCAGCAAACCCCUUAUGUCUAACUCAGGGCUAUGAAGGCCACCAGUGCCCCAGGAGAGCCUGGAUGAGGCCAUUACUUCUCUGUGGCUCACUUAAAUUACAUUACUGACCUGUACUCUUUUCAAGGUGUAGUACUAUGGAUUGUCAAAGACCAAUGGGAUAAAAUUUCAUAUCUUGCAUUUGUGAGCCCAUGUGCCCAAUGUGGAAGUUUGGACAAAAAUAGAUACAAUAACUGUAUCAAUACCAUAUGUUAUCUAUUCUGAGAAGAAAUUUCUCCCAUAACUUAAGUUUUCUGGAAUCAGGAUGAGUCAUAAUGUUAAUGAGUAUAGCUAAAAGGGAUAGUGUAUUUUUCUCUUGAAAUGCUGUUAUCAAAAUAAUACUGUUUUUAAAAAUCAA